CAUGAGGGAAUGCAUCCGCUUGUUUAUUUAUGUAGACAGAGAGAGAGAGAAAGAACACGGUUUGAAAGGCAGUUGUAUUUGCAAACUGCUGGCUGACUUCCCACUGGAGCCGUGAAAAAUCAGGCUGAGAGGCUGCGUUUCAGGAGUGUGUGUGUUGUUUGCACGUCUGAGAGGAGAAACUCACAGAGAGAGAGAGAGAGAGAGAGAGAGACAGAGAGAGAGAGGGAGGGAGAAAGGGGAGGGAGCAAGGGAGAGGAACCCGUUCAACCCAUUCCAGCGGCAACUUUUCAGCCCGUCUUACAUGAGGUCUCUCGCUGAAUAUGGACACUUUUCGCUCUGGUCUUCUCUGCCAUCCCGUCGCCACGGUUUCCUGAUGCUGAACUUUAGGCCACACUUCAGGCUGAAGCCACCGGCGUUUUCUGUGCAGCUUUGCAGGAGGUGAUGAUGAUGAUGAUGAUGUCAUUCACGGUGUGUGCAGGACUCUGUAUAGCAACUCAAGCCUUUGCAUCAUCACCUUUCCUUGCGGUGUCAUUUGAGCCGUUGCAGCAACAAGGUUGACAACACGUCCUGGCAUGGACCCGUUCCACAUGUGCCAAGAGUGCAGUUCAAGAGUGCAGGGCAGACUAAAAGAGUGGUAACACGAGGAGCACGCAGUUACCUGUCUUCACGUUUCUGUUUCUCACAGUUUUUGCCUUGUAAAACACAAAUAAUCUGAUAGCCGGCAAGAAUCUACAAAACAUCAGAACAGGUUUGCAGGAAUCAGAAUGAUUUCAUCAGACCUGCAGACUUAAACAAAUGCAUUUUGACUGAUGCCAAAGGGGCCAGGAACAGGAAAGAGUUGAGGCAGCUGAAAAAUGAACUCGGCUUUAGUUUGUUCUACACGUUGUAAUUGUGGAUUGUCAACCAAAUUGUGAGGAGCUGGCCACCAAAGCUAACGUGGUGCCCACGGGGAACAUUCAACGCUGUCGGUGAGUUUGUGCUCUGAGGGAAACCAUCGACCGUUGACUGUACCUUGAGAGGCACCUCAGCACUGCGAAUGCUCCAGGAGCUUCUCAACCCAGACACAAUGUCCUCACUGCAGAAACAGAAUUAAAAAUAAGUAAAAUCUUCUUGAAAUUAUUGUAUUGGUUCUUGAUUUGAGACGGUAAAUCAGAUUAUCUGCCAAU